rnacentral:rRNA from 1 species
AGUCACUGACAUUAGAUACCCGUGUAGUCCAGGGUGUAAACGCUGCAGACUUGGUGUUGGAAGCCCGUUUGGGGGCAUUCAGUGCCGGAGAGAAGUUGUUAAGUCUGCUACGUUGGGAGUACGUCCGCAAGGAUGAAAACUUAAAGGAAUUGGCGGGGGAGCACCGCAACGGGAGGAGCGUGCGGUUUAAUUGGAUUCAACACCGUAAAACUCACCAGGGAAGACUGUUACAUGAAGGCCGAGAUGAAGACUCUGCUAGAUUUUCAG